AAAAUUAUUGAUUUAUGGACUAGUCUGAAGGCUUUUUUAGUGUUUUUUUGAAAAAAUCACUAAAAUCCGUUCAUAAAAAGUCAAGAUAAUCAGAAUUAUUGCAGUUUUUUAUACUCCUGGACUUAUUUGGACACAUUUUUAAGCAUUCUGGACUUUGAGGAACUGCUGGACUUCUUUAGAACGGAAUUCCACUCAAUUCGACCCUUCAAGGUCCUCCUUGGAGCUCUUAGAAGAUUGAGAAGUUUUGUUACAGUGUUUCAGGGACUCCUGAACUUAUUUGGAGACGUUUUUAAUCAUUUUGGACUUUGAGGAACUGCUGGACUUCUUUAGAACGAAGUUCCACUCAAUUCGAAUCUUCAAGUUCCUUCUUGGAGCUCUUAGAAGAUUGAGAAGUCCUGUCACAGUGUUUCAGGGAUUCCUGGACUUAUUUUGAGACGUUUUUAAGCAUCCUGGACUUUGAGGAACUUCUGGACUUCUUUAGAAGGAAAUUCCACUUAAUUCGACCCUUAAAGCUCCUUCUUGGAGCUCUUAGAAGAUUGAGAAGUCCUGUCACAGUGUUUCAGGGACUCCUGGACUUGUUUUUAAGCAUUCUGGACUUUGAGGAACUCCUGGACUUCUAUCUGGACUAAUUUGAUCCUUCAAGUUCCUUGUUAGACUCCUUAGAAGCUCUCUUAGUCUUCUGAACGUUGUUUCGUCCUCCCUACGUGCUCCUAUUAUUUUUCUAUUUAACCUCAUCAAUUUGAUUUUUGCUAUAUUUGAUUCUUCUUCUCUUUUCAAUACACAGAAGUUGAAUACAAGGUUGAAUUUCAUACUACAAACAACCAGUAGAACAUUCUUUGUCUAUCCAGGGUUUUAUUGCAGGUAAGAGUUACUACAUGCUGGAUGUAAUUAAUUAAUUAAUAUCUUGGUGUAUUAUAUUAAUAACAUUAACAACUUUAUAUUAUUAUAUUUAAUUUCGUGCAAUUAAAUUAAACAAUAUUACGGGAAAAUUUAAUUACUGCCCAAGAUGGUGUGCAUUAAACUAAUUAAUGAAUAACUCCCGCUGUAUUUUCAGCUAUUUAGAGGUCCUAGUCAAUUUAUUGUUACGUUUUAUUGUCACAUCAUUAGCUGAACAACAACCUGGUCGCGACGAUUUAUUUUUAGCAUGUGUAAGGAUCAAAAUAAAAUUGUGAAAUGAUACCGUUGUUAGUUGAUACAUAGAUACGAUAAUAAAUCGGUGUAAAGCGAGUUAUAUUAAAUAUACAAUUUUUUUUUCUGUUUUUAUUAUAAUUCAUUCUUGUAAGGCAACGUUGUCCGUUUAGUUGUUUAAAUUUUAGAACCAAAGUCAAAUAUAUAAUUCCUGAUUAAAACGGU